rnacentral:rRNA from 1 species
UUGAACGCUGGCGGCAGGCCUAACACAUGCAAGUCGAGCGGUAGCACAGGAGAGCUUGCUCUCCGGGUGACGAGCGGCGGACGGGUGAGUAAUGUCUGGGAAACUGCCUGAUGGAGGGGGAUAACUACUGGAAACGGUAGCUAAUACCGCAUAAUGUCGCAAGACCAAAGAGGGGGACCUUCGGGCCUCUUGCCAUCAGAUGUGCCCAGAUGGGAUUAGCUAGUAGGUGGGGUAACGGCUCACCUAGGCGACGAUCCCUAGCUGGUCUGAGAGGAUGACCAGCCACACUGGAACUGAGACACGGUCCAGACUCCUACGGGAGGCAGCAGUGGGGAAUAUUGCACAAUGGGCGCAAGCCUGAUGCAGCCAUGCCGCGUGUAUGAAGAAGGCCUUCGGGUUGUAAAGUACUUUCAGCGGGGAGGAAGGUGUUGAGGUUAAUAACCUCAGCAAUUGACGUUACCCGCAGAAGAAGCACCGGCUAACUCCGUGCCAGCAGCCGCGGUAAUACGGAGGGUGCAAGCGUUAAUCGGAAUUACUGGGCGUAAAGCGCACGCAGGCGGUCUGUCAAGUCGGAUGUGAAAUCCCCGGGCUCAACCUGGGAACUGCAUUCGAAACUGGCAGGCUAGAGUCUUGUAGAGGGGGGUAGAAUUCCAGGUGUAGCGGUGAAAUGCGUAGAGAUCUGGAGGAAUACCGGUGGCGAAGGCGGCCCCCUGGACAAAGACUGACGCUCAGGUGCGAAAGCGUGGGGAGCAAACAGGAUUAGAUACCCUGGUAGUCCACGCCGUAAACGAUGUCGACUUGGAGGUUGUGCCCUUGAGGCGUGGCUUCCGGAGCUAACGCGUUAAGUCGACCGCCUGGGGAGUACGGCCGCAAGGUUAAAACUCAAAUGAAUUGACGGGGGCCCGCACAAGCGGUGGAACAUGUGGUUUAAUUCGAUGCAACGCGAAGAACCUUACCUACUCUUGACAUCCAGAGAACUUUCCAGAGAUGGAUUGGUGCCUUCGGGAACUCUGAGACAGGUGCUGCAUGGCUGUCGUCAGCUCGUGUUGUGAAAUGUUGGGUUAAGUCCCGCAACGAGCGCAACCCUUAUCCUUUGUUGCCAGCGGUUAGGCCGGGAACUCAAAGGAGACUGCCAGUGAUAAACUGGAGGAAGGUGGGGAUGACGUCAAGUCAUCAUGGCCCUUACGAGUAGGGCUACACACGUGCUACAAUGGCGCAUACAAAGAGAAGCGACCUCGCGAGAGCAAGCGGACCUCAUAAAGUGCGUCGUAGUCCGGAUUGGAGUCUGCAACUCGACUCCAUGAAGUCGGAAUCGCUAGUAAUCGUAGAUCAGAAUGCUACGGUGAAUACGUUCCCGGGCCUUGUACACACCGCCCGUCACACCAUGGGAGUGGGUUGCAAAAGAAGUAGGUAGCUUAACCUUCGGGAGGGCGCUUACCACUUUGUGAUUCAUGACUGGGGUG